UCUCCUGGAAACGGGUGGUAAUGCCGGAUGCUCCAGUUGAUCGCAUGGUCUUCUGGGAAAGCUUUCGCGGUAUGGGAUGGGGUCGCGUCCUAUCAGCUUGACGGCGGGGUAACGGCCCACCGUGGCUUCGACGGGUAGCCGGCCUGAGAGGGCGACCGGCCACAUUGGGACUGAGAUACGGCCCAGACUCCUACGGGAGGCAGCAGUGGGGAAUAUUGCACAAUGGGCGCAAGCCUGAUGCAGCGACGCCGCGUGAGGGAUGGAGGCCUUCGGGUUGUAAACCUCUUUUAUCGGGGAGCAAGCGAGAGUGAGUUUACCCGUUGAAUAAGCACCGGCUAACUACGUGCCAGCAGCCGCGGUAAUACGUAGGGUGCAAGCGUUAUCCGGAAUUAUUGGGCGUAAAGGGCUCGUAGGCGGUUCGUCGCGUCCGGUGUGAAAGUCCAUCGCUUAACGGUGGAUCCGCGCCGGGUACGGGCGGGCUUGAGUGCGGUAGGGGAGACUGGAAUUCCCGGUGUAACGGUGGAAUGUGUAGAUAUCGGG
rnacentral:rRNA from 2 species